GACGAACGCUGGCGGCGUGCUUAACACAUGCAAGUCGAACGGAAAGGCCCUGCUUUUGUGGGGUGCUCGAGUGGCGAACGGGUGAGUAACACGUGAGUAACCUGCCCUUGACUUUGGGAUAACUUCAGGAAACUGGGGCUAAUACCGGAUAGGAGCUCCUGCUGCAUGGUGGGGGUUGGAAAGUUUCGGCGGUUGGGGAUGGACUCGCGGCUUAUCAGCUUGUUGGUGGGGUAGUGGCUUACCAAGGCUUUGACGGGUAGCCGGCCUGAGAGGGUGACCGGGCAAAAUGGGACUGGAGAACGGGCCCGAAUCCCACGGGGGGCAGCAGGGGGGAAUAAUGCAACAAGGGCGGGAGGCUGAUGGAGCCAACGCGGGGGGGGGAAGAAGGCCUUUGGGGUGGAAACCGGUUUCGGCCGGUGAGAAGGGGGGGGUGCGGUAAAUGGGUAAGGAAGAACGGGUUAAUACGUG
rnacentral:rRNA from 1 species